AGUGUGCCACUUUUGGUAAGCAGAACUGGCGCUGUGGGAUGAACCA
rnacentral:rRNA from 1 species